rnacentral:rRNA from 1 species
GAUAAACGCUGGCGGCGCACAUAAGACAUGCAAGUCGAACGGACUUAACCUAUAGUUUACUAUUGGAGCGGUUAGUGGCGGACUGGUGAGUAACGCGUAAGCAAUCUGCCUAUCAGAGGGGAAUAACAGUGAGAAAUCACUGCUAAUACCGCAUAAGCUGUGAGUAUCGCAUGAUACAAGCAGAAAGGAGCAAUCCGCUGAUAGAUGAGCUUGCGUCUGAUUAGUUAGUUGGUAGGGUAACGGCCUACCAAGACGAUGAUCAGUAGCCGGACUGAGAGGUUGAACGGCCACAUUGGGACUGAGAUACGGCCCAG